GCUUGGGUUAGAUUUACUUGAUCAAAAGCUUUAGACAUAUCCAGUGAUAUUAUUAUUUUUGAUUUGAAAUUCAUUUUUAGAUGAAGAUCAAAUAAUAAUUUUUGUCUGGAAAUGUACUUUGUAUAAGCAUAUUGAGAAUUUUCCUCCAAAAGAUGUGGCAGCAAAGAUUGUAAUCUCUCGGCGAUCACUCUAUCAAUCAAUUUUAAGAGAUAAUUUGGUGCUUUCACGAUUCUAAUUGUUUUACCAUCAGGUUUGGGUACCAAACCAACACCAAAUAUACGAACAGGUUCAGUGAACUUCCUUGCAUGUUUUUCAAUAAUAAUAAUCGUUCAAGUUGACUGAGACCAUCAAAUUUUCGUUCGUAGACUUGAUCGCGAUGAAUUGGAUGAUUUGUGGUAAAUGAUAAAAUGUAUUUCCAAGCAUCUGUUGAAUUUAGAUUACUUGAUGGAAAUCGUUGAACUUUCUGGACCAUUGCUCUUCUCUUUUCACGAUUUGCCAUUUGAUGAAUUGGUUUUUUCGAGCCACUUAUCCAAUUGCCAUGAAUUUUCGGAAAAUUAAUAAUGUUAUUGCAGUUUAUUAUUAAUGAAUGAUUUUUAUUAAUUGGUCUUUCAUCCAUCGGUUUCAAUUUAAGCUUCCAGGAGUUUAUGAAAAGUUUUCUCGAAUGGUGUCAAUCCAAGACAUUGAAUCUCUGGUGUUAUAUGUUGGUUUCGAUGAUUUAUCAAACACUGAAGACAAUUGGUUAUUUAUUAUGA